rnacentral:rRNA from 1 species
AGUGGAUGGGGAGCAACCUAGUUGUGCGUGUGUAAAGGUAGUGCCAAGAAAAGCGAUGAUCAUGUUGAAAAUCAAUUCCCGGUACCCGAAACCGACACAGGUGGGCAAGUAGAGAAUACUAAGGGGCGCGAGGUAACUCUCUCCAAGGAACUCGGCAAAAUGACCCCGUAACUUAGGGAGAAGGGGUGCCACCGAGAGGUGGUCGCAGUGAAGAGGCCCAGGCGACUGUUUAGCAAGAACAUAGGUCUCUGCAAACUCGAAAGAGGAGGUAUAGGGGCUGACGCCUGCCCAGUGCCGGAAGGUUAAAGAAGUUGGUCAGUUUUAGGAUGAAGCUAGCGACUGAAGCCCCGGUGAACGGCGGCCGUAACUAUAACGGUCCUAAGGUAGCGAAAUUCCUUGUCGGGUAAGUUCCGACCCGCACGGAAGGCGUAACGAUCUGGGCGCUGUCUCGGAGAGAGGCUCGGCGAAAUAGGAUUGUCUGUGAAGAUACGGACUACCUGCAUUUGGACAGAAAGACCCUAUGAAGCUUUACUAUAGCUUGGAAUUGUGUUCGGGCUUCCUGUGCGCAGGAUAGGUGGGAGGUGUAGAAGGUAUUCUUGUGGGGAUACUGGAGCCAACGGUGAGAUACCACUCUCAGGAGGCUAGAAUUCUAACUUAAUUAAGGACAGUUUCAGGUGGGUAGUUUGACUGGGGCGGUCGCCUCCAAAAAGGUAACGGAGGCGUACAAAGGUUCCCUCAGACUGGUUGGAAAUCAGUCGAAGAGUGCAAAGGCAGAAGGGAGCUUGACUGCGAGAAGUACAGUUCGAGCAGGGUGGAAACACGGUCUUAGUGAUCCGACGGUGCUGUGUGGAAGGGCCGUCGCUCAACGGAUAAAAGUUACUCUAGGAUAACAGGCUGAUCUCCCCCAAGAGUUCACAUCGACGGGGAGGUUUGGCACCUCGAUGUCGGCUCAUCGCAACCUGGGGCGGAAGUACGUCCCAAGGGUUGGGCUGUUCGCCCAUUAAAGCGGUACGUGAGCUGGGUUCAGAACGUCGUGAGACAGUUCGGUCCAUAUCCGAUGUAGGCGUGAGAAUAUUGAGAGGAGCCUUCCUUAGUACGAGAGGACCGGGAAGGACGCACCGCUGGUGUACCUGUUAUGAUGCCAAUUGUAAACGCAGGGUAGCCAAGUGCGGAGAGGAUAACCGCUGAAAGCAUCUAAGUGGGAAGCCCACCUCAAGAUGAGUAUUCUGGUGUAAGGUCACGGGAAGACGACCCGUAAAUAGGCACGAGGUGGAAGUGCAGAGAUGUAUGAAGCCGAAGUGUACUAAUAGACCGUCGGCUUGACC